AUGAACUCGCUUAGAUAUACAUUUUCGGAAGAUGUGCUAAUUUUCCUUAAUGUUUUGUUUACAUUAGGUAUGGUGCAUUCUGAUGCUAUCUUCAAAUCUAUUGUGUCUCAAGAUGCUUCAUCUGUACUAGUGAAAGUGGUAGAUAUUGAAAACUAUUUUAAAAAUGAACAAGAGUAUGAAUUUCUGGAUCACAUGCUGCAAUAG